UUUCGCAAUGCCCGAAAGGGUGACGAAGCGACGCCGCGUGUGGGAAGAAGGCCUUCGGGUUGUAAACCACUGUCGGGAGUUAAGAAAGGUGUACGGGUAAAUAGUCCGUGCAUUUGACAAAAGCUCCGGAGGAAGCCACGGCUAACUCUGUGCCAGCAGCCGCGGUAAUACAGAGGUGGCAAGCGUUGUUCGGAAUUAUUGGGCGUAAAGAGCACGUAGGCGGCCCUGCAAGUCAGCUGUGAAAGCCUCCUGCUUAACGGGAGAAGUGCAGUUGAAACUACGGGGCUAGAGUGCGGAAGGGGAGAGUGGAACUUCUGGUGGAGCGGUGAAAUGCGUAGAUAUCAGAAGGAACGCCGGCGGCGAAAGCGACUCUCUGGUCCGAAACUGACGCUGAGUGUGCGAAAGCUAGGGGAGCAAACGGGAUUAGAUACCCCGGUAGUCCUAGCCGUAAACGAUGGGCACUAAGUAGAGGGGUUUU
rnacentral:rRNA from 1 species